rnacentral:misc_RNA from 1 species
CUUUGGGUUAACGCAUGAAAUCUUAUUCAUACCCUCUUGUUGGGUGCGCUCAGAACGUUGUAAAUAGCAACAAUUUGUUGGUCGUCUGGGAGAAGUCAGCACUCUCAUAAUCACUGUAUAUAGGAUCUUUUUCAUACGUUAACCCAAAGCAGCAGUUGAUAAAUUUUAUCCAGAAAAAAAAAAAAAAAAAAGGGGAAAACCGAA